rnacentral:lncRNA from 1 species
GAUGCAAUAAAUCAGUAGAACUUACCUAUAAAUGGUAGAAUAAUCAACCAGAACUUACAUUAACAAUAGCAAGAAGUGUAGCGCCUUCUGAAAAUCUCAUCAAAUUCCCUCCUCCGAUAUAACUGAUGGUGUACAUGACAAUAAACAUUGUUCCUCGCACGCCACAUUUUGAACUACAACCCGCUCCACCAAAGAAACACUUGAAACCAAACGACCAACUA